rnacentral:rRNA from 1 species
UCCUACGGGAGGCAGCAGUGAGGAAUAUUGGUCAAUGGCCGGAAGGCUGAACCAGCCAAGCCGCGUGAAGGACGAAGGUGCCAAGCAUUGUAAACUUCUUUUGUCAAGGGACAAAAUCAGGCUCGAGAGCCUGACCGAGGGUACUUGAAGAAAAAGCAUCGGCUAACUCCGUGCCAGCAGCCGCGGUAAUACGGAGGGCGCGAGCGUUAAUCGGAAUUACUGGGCGUAAAGCGCGCGUAGGCUGUUGUGUAAGUUGGGGGUGAAAUCCCACGGCUCAACCGUGGAACAGCCCUUGAUACUGCGCG